GUAAAGUCGGUCCUCAAUCCAACUUAAAGUAUUGCUCCUCUAGUCUCCACGCACGCCAAGAUUCCAAUUCCUGCAGCUCAGCUGCAUCAAUCUCUAUCAACCCACAAAAAUCAUGUGGUAAUAUCUUCAUUCUCUGAACAGUAUUGUUGAAAACUGUUUCGAGAGAUUGGAUAUGGAUGUUGACAUGAGCACCGCUAUUAAAAUAUGAUGAAACAAAUAUUCUCCUCCUUGGAGAAUAAGUCCAAGCAAGUAUAAAAAUUCUGGUCUCCCUUAACAAUAUACAAUAUACAGCUUUUUUCUAAUCAAAUCGACCCACCAAAGUUAAUAAUAACGGGUACAGGGAUACCAUCUGAUCUUAUUAUAUAUUGAAGGUUUGAUCUUUGUGUUGGUUGAGGUGAUCAAAUGAUGGUGGAGUUAUUUGUGCUGGGUUGUACAGGAAUUGUGGUGUUCCUUCACGGAGCCAACUUUUUCUUCCAUGUUCUUUCCCAGCACCUCGCCGUUCGUUCUCUCAGUUUUCUGGGAUUUGUUGGCUGGUAGACCAGAAGAAGAAGAGUAAGUAAGAGAUAGUUAAUUAGUUUCGUCACGCAAAAACCAAUGAAGAUGGAGCACAUUUGUAAAAUGAUUUAUGAAAUCUUGUAGAAGCUGGUACUGUCACUGGAGAAGCAACAAAAAUAAAAUGGAAGGAUUGAUGUAUUGAAAUUCAGGCACAACCAACCACUCUUGUUAUAUAUUGUAAUAAUCCUUUAAUCUUCUUGUUGCUUCCAUUAUUCCUUUUAAUAGAAUAAUAUGUUCGAUGUUUCA